AUCGAUCGCCAUAUCACCCUGCAGUCCAAGACUGGUUACACACUGAAGCAACAGGGCUGAACCUGGUCAGUACCUGGAUGGGCGAUGACAGAGGAAAACUACAGGUUACUGUUGGAA
rnacentral:rRNA from 1 species